UGGCCUUGACAUAGUAGAGACUUUCCAGAGAUGGAAAGGUGCCUUCGGGAAUCUACAUACAGGUGCUGCAUGGCUGUCGUCAGCUCGUGUCGUGAGAUGUUGGGUUAAGUCCCGCAACGAGCGCAACCCUUUUCCUUACUUGCCAGCAUUUCGGAUGGGAACUUUAAGGAUACUGCCAGUGACAAACUGGAGGAAGGCGGGGACACGUCAAGUCAUCAUGGCCCUUAGGCCAGGG
rnacentral:rRNA from 1 species